AUACUCAACCAUUUUCUAAACUUUAUAUGUAAUUAUGCGUGUAGGGCUUCUGUACCUUCAAUUCUUGCUUUUCUGGUUAAUUGAAAGUUUCUGCAAAGUGGAAUAAAGCACUUAGACAAUUGAACUGGAUAUAACUUACACUUGGGUGUUCUUUUUGUUACUUUUGUACCAAUUGUACCCGUUAUCACCACUCAAUAUUGAUUCAAACUUCAAUAUUCCCACCCAAUGGGGUCUAUAAAAGUCAGAUAGUGGUAAUGGUUAGUAACACAUUUCAAUCAAUUCAUACCACGGUGACCAACUAAGAAUUGCUGAAUCAUUUUGAAUGGCUAAUUCAUCUGCUGCAAUCAACAAUGUGAAGGAUCUCUGCCCCCCAAGUAGGAAUUGGAGCAUUAAGGUGCGGGUGAUACGAAUGUGGACUUCUCCAUCAUUUGAUGGAACUGAUACUCCAUCAUCUUUAGAGUUAAUCUUCUUGGACCAACAGGGGGGUAAGAUUCAAGCAUCACUAAGGAAAGGAAUGUAUCAAAGAUGGUCAGGCAAGUUCAUGGAGGGCAUUGUGUACAAAAUAACUACUUGUCACCUGAUUCCCAAUCUAGGUUCAUACCCCUGAGCAUCCAUACAAGAUGAUAUUUACUGGGAAAACGAAGGUUGUGCCUUCAGAAAGUAGCUCAAUCCCCAUGUGGGGGCUAACUCUGAAGACUUAUGAACAAGUUCAUGCUCCGGAUGUCCAAACUGAUUAUUUAGGUUGUUAGUUCAACAUCUAAUUAUCUGUCUUUGUGGUUACGACAGUGUGUGCAUAGGCUCAAAGUUUAUUUUGUUAAUCAAGUGUCAUCCUAUUGAGCAGACAUGGUUGGAUUGGUGUCUGCUGCCUCUACUGAGCGUUCCUACAUGAAGGAAGGGAAGGAGGGGAAAGGUUAAGUUGACUGUAUCCGGUGAAUACGUUGCUGUUAUAAAUGACUACUUAUCAUCUCACUUCGAUGGAAAGCCUGUAGUGGUUGUUGAACUUGCAAAAAUCAAGACAUUUAAGGGUAUUUGUUAUUGUUAUUGUUAUUAUCUCUUAUGUACAAGUUAGAGGUCUACUAAUGCUUGCAAUCAAUAUAUUGCCCAAUUGGUUUUAGUUUUUU